GUUUGAUUCAUGGCUCAGGACGAACGCUGGCGGCGUGGCCUAAAUACAUGCAAGUCGAACGAACUCUGGUAUUGAUUGGUGCUUGCAUCAUGAUUUACAUUUGAGUGAGUGGGCGAACUGGUGAGUAACACGGUGGGAAACCUGCCCAGAAGCGGGGGAUAACACCUGGAAACAGAUGCUAAUACCGCAUAACAACUUGGACCGCAUGGUCCGAGCUUGAAAGAUGGCUUCGGCUAUCACUUUUGGAUGGUCCCGCGGCGUAUUAGCUAGAUGGUGGGGUAACGGCUCACCAUGGCAAUGAUACGUAGCGAGACCUGAGAGGGUAAUCGGCCACAUUGGGACUGAGACACGGCCCAAACUCCUACGGGAGGCAGCAGUAGGGAAUCUUCCACAAUGGACGAAAGUCUGAUGGAGCAACGCCGCGUGAGUGAAGAAGGGUUUCGGCUCGUAAAACUCUGUUGUUAAAGAAGAACAUAUCUGAGAGUAACUGUUCAGGUAUUGACGGUAUUUAACCAGAAAGCCACGGCUAACUACGUGCCAGCAGCCGCGGUAAUACGUAGGUGGCAAGCGUUGUCCGGAUUUAUUGGGCGUAAAGCGAGCGCAGGCGGUUUUUUAAGUCUGAUGUGAAAGCCUUCGGCUCAACCGAAGAAGUGCAUCGGAAACUGGGAAACUUGAGUGCAGAAGAGGACAGUGGAACUCCAUGUGUAGCGGUGAAAUGCGUAGAUAUAUGGAAGAACACCAGUGGCGAAGGCGGCUGUCUGGUCUGUAACUGACGCUGAGGCUCGAAAGUAUGGGUAGCAAACAGGAUUAGAUACCCUGGUAGUCCAUACCGUAAAACAGUGAAGGCUAAGUGUUGGAGGGUUUCCGCCCUUCAGUGCUGCAG
rnacentral:rRNA from 2 species